UUGUCUUUCUUGUUUAGGGGACCAUGUUGGCUGUUUCAAGACGAAGAGUUAGUUCUUCUUCUUCAGUAUUAGGCCACUCAUUUCGAAAUGCUCGACCUUCACGAUCUUACACUUCUUCAAAAGAGGCCUAUGCUAUGACUUUAGUUUCCAGAAAAGGGUCAUCACAUGAUGCAGGGAUUGUGGGUUGUUUAGGGUUUCAGUUGGCUCAAAGCCUCUAAGUGAAGUUAUUUAAUUUGUUCAAAGAUCUCCUCCAAUAUUUGUCCACACUAGGUCAUUUUCUCCCGAUACUGGUGAAGUUGUUGAUGCUGUUGUCCCGUUCAUGGGGGAAUCCAUCACCGAUGGCACUCUUUCUAACUUUUGAAGCAACCUGGUGACCGUGUAGAAGUAGAUGAGCCAAUUGCACAAAUAGAAACGGAUAAGGUGACAAUUGACGUGAGUAGUCCGGAAGCUGGUGUAAUUGAAUAG